ACGAUGCAAAAAUAUAAAAUGUGAUUUUAUCUCUUGUAAAAUAAUAUACCUCUUUUUUGUAUUGCUAACUGUCUUCUCCUUCUGUUCCCAUUGCUCUAGUGACGACUGAAAGUAAAGAGACAGCACUGAAACAACAGUCUGAGAUGCUUCUGAACGACAUGAACCGGCUUCACUCAAAUUCGUAGUCAAAUGAGACGCGACUUCUGCUACAUCAAAUCUGCUAAACCAAUGGAACAGAAGUGUUUAAAACCAAUUAGAAAAAAAAAUAUCCGCCAAACCUGCACGGUCGUCGAGUUUAGACAUUUCAUUUAGAUCGUGAAACUCUCGGAAUGUAGAUUACCAAUUAAGUAAGCUCGCGUGAACCCUUGCCAUGACGUGUUAUUUCAUCUUAAGUUAUGGGGUUCAAUCGUGCUAUGUUGACCAUUGUUAUGGCGUCUUGAUUUUAUAUAGCUCGUGUUGAUAGAGAUAAUUUAUUGUUUUUGAUAGGUAAUGGUUUUCAGUAUAUGUAUCUGUCCAUGUGCGCGUUUUAUACUUUAAAUUUUAUUGUCUUAUUCAACCGUUUUAAGUAUGCGUGAAUAUUGUUAUCUGCAUUUGGGAAUACUUUUACGUUGCUUCGACUCUACACCAACAAUACGCUUAUUUUCGUCUCAACGGUUGAUGUGUACCAUGCAAAUAAAGUUAUAUCGUGGAAUCAAUGUAGCUACCUAAAUUUAUUACUGUAGCAAUUAUAUACUAGGUUCAAUAUUUAUUGUCAUUUUAGUUUUGGAUUUAUUUUAUUUAGAAAGUUGUCACUGCGUUCAGAGUAGCGCCAGUCUCGAAUGUUUGGACGCGCGUCUGGCAGGCGUUCGCCUGGCGUUGUGUCGUACACUCACCGCUAUUGCACUCUACCAAGCACCAGCUGUUCACAAAAUGCGUAUCGUCCUUUUUUCAUGAAUUUUCAUAAAAUCACUGAUGUAUUAAGCUUUUUACGAGUAUAAACUCUCCUAUCCAUUUAUUGAAGAGCGAUAUACGGAAUUAUGUUUACGUGUAUUGAUUUUUAGGCAUCGCUUCUCGGUAAUGUGUGCCGAGCCUGCUACUUCAUACGCGUCUGCUUGUUGCCUCUUUGAUGGCACAAAUUCUCGACGCCAUAAAAUUGCCCCAAUUUUUUUUAUGCGCCUACGUCUCGCUAUGUACAUUCGAAGGAUUCAGAUGCAUAAUUUUCAGUGCAAGUUUUUUUUUCUCAAAAAUCUAUGUGCAUACGAGUGAAAUGUUUUUUAUCAAUGAUGCUGCAGACUUAUUAAUUUUUAUUUAUUUAUCAGUGUGGUAUUGCUGUGAAGACGUUAUUUUUAUUAUUGCGUCGCAGAAUUGUUCCCAAUAACAUUUCCUAAUUGCAUGCUUCGCUCAACUUGUGUUUGUCUCUUGGGUUAUGCGAUCCGCCAUAUGCAAUGUACACAUGCUUUCUUAUCUCCUUUGUGCGCACGGCACCUGAUAUUGCGCGGCGCAAUAACCUUGGCAAGGUCAUAUCAGCUCUGUAAAACUUGCAUGACGCCCUUUUGCCGCACCAAGCACUGGCAUUGCCUCGAGUCGUGUUGCGCGCGCAACCUAACCCCAAUAUUGCGCCUAUAAAACGACCUCUUGAGAAACUAGUCCCAGUUAUCAGCAGUGCUUCGAUUUUUGCGCUCCACACCGCACUCCAUUAUUGCAAAGGGUCAUUAAAACGCGCUACGCGGGAUUCCCUGCUCCAAUAUUGCCUCAAAAAAACUCUUGCCCACGGCACCCCGAGCACCUACAUUGCCUUGACCUUUUGUGACAAUAUAAUAAGUUAGUGAAACAUUCAACAUAUAUUGCCAGUCGAACCGUAAUUUUAUACUCAUAUUGAAGAAUAUGAUAUUAGUUUAUAUUACAGGCUGUAAUGAUGGUUUUAAUGGCAUGUGAGCCAAGUUGAGUGUCAUGACAUGAGUCAUUCCCUGCCGCCGCCAUGUUGUGCUCACGUGCUUUGUGAGCUGACGUACGAUUGAGUACGACAACAGUCGCAGCGGAAAUCCUUAUGCAAAACACUUUUAAGGAAAAUGUGUAUACUCAUUAAUCAUACUCAUAUGGCAAAUAUUGUACUCUCAUCGCAAUCAUGCAUAUUAUUUGUGCGAUUUUGUUUUCGUCAAGAUAUUUGACUGUGGCCAUUUUGUACCUAUAACACCUAGUUUCGUCCGUGUAAAUAGUGUACGUAGAACGCAUCCAUACUUCGUGAUUUGUCAUAAAGACAUUCCUGUACAUAUCAUGCUAUGAAUAAAUGUAUGCAUAAUGUAGCAAAGCAAUCAUAUUUGUCCAUUCAUAAAGUUCCUCGAUCAUUAAAAGUUAUUUAAAAAAUCGUGCUACUCACGAUCUUAGUGAAUCCAUUUAAAGUAUUACUAUUGAAGGAGAUUGAAUCCCAAUUAAUGAUACGUUUUUAAUGCAAUUUUCUGUUCAAUUUUCGUGCGACUCAUGCAACAGAGUUAUGUUAGUAUUGCUCUCAUGCUAUUUAUAUGAAUUUAAUUAUUGCCUGUACAAAUAAGACGUGUGACUAACUUUGCAUAUGACGUUUGCUAGGAACUCAAUGCAUCAUAUAAACGAAGUGUGUUAUACCCAGCUUUAUUCUACUCCAGAUCUGAAAAUAUUUUUUAGUUUACAUAAAAUUCUUCAUUUAAAUUGAGCGUUGAAGGCAUGCUAUUGAACGUUUUCAAUGUCAUAUCAAAACCUUUGUUUCAGUACUUUAUCGAAUAGAGGUUAAUGCGACACUUAUGUAUGUAUUAAAAAAUCAGGUUUCAAAAUUCACCCAAGUGAGUUACAUAACUUGUAUUCGUGUCCGUUGUCAUACCAUCCACAACCUGCAAUACACUCAUAGCUUCUUAUCGCUGCUUUGCGCACGGCACCUCGUAGUAUUGCGCCGCGCAAUAGCCCUUGCUGCUUUCAAUGGGAACUAAUCAUAUUACAUCAUCAUAAAAUUUAUCAUUAAUAUUCAUGAAUUUCUAAAUCCAUCCGAAAAAAGCGCCUUAGACUUUGUAAUUCUUACCUGAGAUAAGAACCACACUUCUUACUAUAUUUUAUGCAUUUUGUACAGAAGUGAGAACUAAGUUCUUAAAGCUUACGUGUCCGUCAAGUACUAAUUUUGAUACUCAUUUUCUCGUAACGUGUAAAAGUUAGGAAUUGCUGACGUCAUUCAAGCUUUGUGCAAUUCUCUUGUAUUGAGUCGUACAAACGUUUUUAUUGUAUUUGUACAUAAUUUUUGUAAAUAGAUGUAUUUGUAUAUCUUAUCCAUCA
rnacentral:lncRNA from 1 species